GACGAACUGUGCAAACGUUAUUCGGAAUCACUGGGCUUGAAGAGUGCGUAGGCGGUUUUGUAAGUAGGGUGUGAAAGCCCCCGGCCCAACCGGGGAAUUGCGCCCUAAACUGCAAGGCUGGAGUGAGGUAGGGGUGUGUGGAACUUCUAGUGGAGCGGUGAAAUGUGUUGAUAUUAGAAGGAACGCCGGUGGCGAAAGCGACACACUGGACCUUGUCUGACGCUGAGGCACGAAAGCCAGGGGAGCAAACAGG
rnacentral:rRNA from 1 species